UUUUCUUACGUUCUCAGAACAACCCUCUGGAAGAUGGCGACUCUGUGGCGUCCAAGUUCCUGGAGAAAUUCUGUGAGGCUCUGGCUGGAGAUAUGGACGCCGGGCUGAGGGUUAUUGUACAGGCUAUGGAGCACUUUCAGAGAGCCAGCGAAGACAGCCAAGGAGAGAGCGAAGGAAGAGACUAGACUUCGCAGACCUUGGUUCAGGAAGAAGAAACAGGACGCGACCCAGAUUCUGAACAGAUCACGCCCCGACUGCUCAAUUAUGAUUUAACAAACAUAACUGUGUGAAUUCUUUUAUCUAUCAUGUUUAUAUUAUCAUGUUGCUAAAAUAAUGAAAUAGCACACAAUAAGACAUACACUGUUAUUUUCUUUCUUUUAAUGGAAUAUAAACACCACAAUUAGAGGGGGAAAAAUAAUCAUAUAUAUAAUAAUAAUAUAUAUAUAUAUAUGUAUAUAUAUAAUAAAAAUCAUUGCCUCUGUGAUAAGACCAGGUAAUUCACAUAAUACUAUACUUUUUUCAAUUUGACAAACACACAGUAAAAUCAAUUACUUAUUUCAUAUACUCAGUCAAAGAUGGAUUUGAAUUUUGACUAUAAACGCUCCAAAAACUAUAGAAAUAUAGAUGGCUGCCAGGUUGCUACGUUAUGACGAUGAAACUAAAUUAAGUUUUUAGCUUCUUCUGUAAAAUUAUCUCUGCUAAGUUUAGCUGGUCUUAUCUCAAAGGAGACGAUAAAGAUAUUAGGGUUUAAGUAAUAUUAUAAUAUUAUAGUGCAUAUAGUUAAUACAAAAAACCCCCACAAUGUUCCCUCAGUAUUUUGUACAAUACCCUGUGUAUAUUUCGUCAACCUAACAGCGAAACCAGGAAUGUUGAAGCUCAAAAGGUCAACAGGAAAAUCAAUCAAUUAUUAUUAGCCAGCUGAUCAGACAUAUUAAGUCCAAGAUUUUGAUUACAAAAAAAAAAAAUUAUCUUACUUACAUCUCUCAAUCUGGUUGCAUGUGCUCAAGAAAUAUUUAAUAGAAAUUCAAAGAAUACGCGCUGGUAAAAAGUAGCACGUAAAAAUACAUAAAGUAGGUACAAUUAUUAAAAGAAUGAAACUUUUUUUUUCUCUCUCCUGAAAAAUUUUGCUUUCUGGGCUUAGCACAUUUGAACAGCUUGGCAAUGAUAUGUAAGUAUAACAUAUAUAUAUAAAAACACCAUCAUAGUCUCACACAAAAUCAAUUAAAGGCUUAUUGUUCUUCCCAAAUGUCUAUCAACUGGUGUAAAAGUAACAAAAUGUAUGCAUAUAACAUAAAUAUAUUUGUUAAAAAUACAACAAUAGAGUUACUUCCCAGAUAUUUUCAACAUGUAAACAUUGUCAACUUUUCUAAAAAAAAAAACCCAACAAGUUGGUGAAUAAAUUGUGUCUAUCAAUCUGCA